GGCUUCGUGGCGUAAUGGUGGCGCGUCGGAUUCCAAUCCUCCGGACUUCAGCCGGAAGGGCACCAUCCGAAGGUUGGGGGUUCGAUCCCCUCCGAGGUCA
rnacentral:tRNA from 1 species